rnacentral:rRNA from 1 species
ACGAAGGGUGCAAGCGUUACUCGGAAUUACUGGGCGUAAAGCGUGCGUAGGUGGUUUGUUAAGUCUGUUGUGAAAGCCCCGGGCUCAACCUGGGAAUGGCAAUGGAUACUGGCAAGCUAGAGUGCGGUAGAGGGUAGUGGAAUUCCCGGUGUAGCGGUGAAAUGCGUAGAGAUCGGGAGGAACACCAGUGGCGAAGGCGGCUACCUGGACCAGCACUGACACUGAGGCACGAAAGCGUGGGGAGCAAACAGGA